GAUCACGAAGCUCGGCCGCAAGCCCUCCGGCCGGCCGACUGGCAACCGCGCGGAGCGCACGGUGCCCCCGGAGGAAGAUCCGCCCGCGCCGACCGGUGCGGGAAGACGCUCGAC
rnacentral:ncRNA from 2 species